GCAAACGUGAGUGUGGAGUUGCCUAUUUUCCCUUUAAUAAAGAGAUAUCUGCCCUCCGUGUCUCUUACUUCUGCUUCCAGGUGGAACUGGGUGUUUGCUGAGAAUAGUAUGGCUACUCCCUUAGAUUUGGUCGAGGGGUUGUGCGCGAAGUGGCCGUUGGGGUAGUGUUUGUUGGAGAACUUCGGGGCCUGGGGUGCGUGAAAAUGGGUUUCCUGGAAGAAGGCUAUCGACACUCCCAGUGCUCUGAGUUCCCGUAACGCUCUGGCACGUUUAUGAGGAGAGUUGAGGCCUCUCGCGUUGAGCGUGUAGAGUUUGAGGUGGUCCCAGUUGGGUCUGCCCGCGUAGGGGGCGUGGGGUGGGCCCAUGCUGUGGGUGUCGCCCCCGGGCCGGGCCGGCUGGUGGACCAGGG